rnacentral:rRNA from 1 species
UCCGUAGGUGAACCUGCGGAAGGAUCAUUAGUGAAUAUAGGACGUCCAACUUAACUUGGAGUCCGAACUCUCACUUUCUAACCCUGUGCACUUGUUUGGGAUAGUAACUCUCGCAAGAGAGCGAACUCCUAUUCACUUAUAAACACAAAGUCUAUGAAUGUAUUAAAUUUUAUAACAAAAUAAAACUUUCAACAACGGAUCUCUUGGCUCUCGCAUCGAUGAAGAACGCAGCGAAAUGCGAUAAGUAAUGUGAAUUGCAGAAUUCAGUGAAUCAUCGAAUCUUUGAACGCACCUUGCGCUCCAUGGUAUUCCGUGGAGCAUGCCUGUUUGAGUGUCAUGAAUACUUCAACCCUCCUCUUUCUUAAUGAUUGAAGAGGUGUUUGGUUUCUGAGCGCUGCUGGCCUUUACGGUCUAGCUCGUUCGUAAUGCAUUAGCAUCCGCAAUCGAACUUCGGAUUGACUUGGCGUAAUAGACUAUUCGCUGAGGAAUUCUAGUCUUCGGACUAGAGCCGGGUUGGGUUAAAGGAAGCUUCUAAUCAGAAUGUCUACAUUUUAAGAUUAGAUCUCAAAUCAGGUAGGACUACCCGCUGAACUUAAGCAUAUCAAUAAGCGGAGGAAAAG